GACGAACGCUGGCGGCGUGCUUAACACAUGCAAGUCGAACGGAAAGGCCCUGCUUUUGUGGGGUGCUCGAGUGGCGAACGGGUGAGUAACACGUGAGUAACCUGCCCUUGACUUUGGGAUAACUUCAGGAAACUGGGGCUAAUACCGGAUAGGAGCUCCUGCUGCAUGGUGGGGGUUGGAAAGUUUCGGCGGUUGGGGAUGGACUCGCGGCUUAUCAGCUUGUUGGUGGGGUAGUGGCUUACCAAGGGUUUGACGGGUAGCCGGCCUGAGAGGGUGACCGGCCACAUUGGGACUGAGAGACGGCCCAGACUCCUACGGGAGGCAGCAGUGGGGAAUAUUGCACAAUGGGCGGAAGCGUGAUGCAGCAACGCCGCGUGCGGGAUGACGGCCUUCGGGUUGUAAACCGAUUUCGCCUGUGACGAAGCGUGAGUGACGGUAAUGGGUAAAGAAGCACCGGCUAACUACGUG
rnacentral:rRNA from 1 species